GAUGAAGAACGCAGCGAAAUGCGAUAAGUAAUGUGAAUUGCAGAAUUCAGUGAAUCAUCGAAUCUUUGAACGCACAUUGCGCCCGCUAGUAUUCUGGCGGGCAUGCCUGUCCGAGCGUCAUUUCAACCCUCAAGCCCCCGGGCUUGGUGUUGGGGAUCGGCGAGCCUCCGCGCCCGCCGUCCCCUAAAUCUAGUGGCGGUCUCGCUGCAGCUUCCUCUGCGUAGUAGCACACCUCGCACUGGGAAACAGCGCGGCCACGCCGUUAAACCCCCAACUUCUGAACGUUUGACCUCGGAUCAGGUAGGAAUACCCGCUGAACUUAAGCAUAUCAAUAAGCGGAGGA
rnacentral:misc_RNA from 1 species